rnacentral:rRNA from 1 species
CAGCAGCCGCGGGAAAACAGAGGGUGCGAGCGUUAAUCGGAUUUACUGGGCGUAAAGCGUGCGUAGGCGGCUUCUUAAGUCGGAUGUGAAAUCCCUGAGCUUAACUUAGGAAUUGCAUUCGAUACUGGGAAGCUAGAGUAUGGGAGAGGAUGGUAGAAUUCCAGGUGUAGCGGUGAAAUGCGUAGAGAUCUGGAGGAAUACCGAUGGCGAAGGCAGCCAUCUGGCCUAAUACUGACGCUGAGGUACGAAAGCGUGGGGAGCAAACAGGAUUAGAUACCCCCGGUAGUACCUGUCUCUUAUA